GACGGAGGAUGCAAGCGUUAUCCGGAAUUAUUGGGCGUAAAGAGCUUGUAGGCGGUUUGUCGCGUCUGCUGUGAAAUUUCGGGGCUCAACCCGAACUUGCAGUGGGUACGGGCAGACUAGAGUGUGGUAGGGGAGACUGGAAUUCCUGGUGUAGCGGUGAAAUGCGCAGAUAUCAGGAGGAACACCGAUGGCGAAGGCAGGUCUCUGGCCAUAACUGACGCUGAGAAGCGAAAGCAGUGGGGAGCAAACAGGAUUAGAACCGGUACCGGACUAGACCAAGCCAGUCUGACCGA
rnacentral:rRNA from 1 species